rnacentral:rRNA from 1 species
GAUGAACGCUGACAGAAUGCUUAACACAUGCAAGUCAACUUGAACUUCGGUUUGGGUGGCGGACGGGUGAGUAACGCGUAAAGAACUUGCCUCACAGCUAGGGACAACAUUUGGAAACGAAUGCUAAUACCUGAUAUUAUGAUUAUAUGGCAUCGUAUAAUUAUGAAAGCUAUAUGCGCUGUGAGAGAGCUUUGCGUCCCAUUAGCUAGUUGGAGAGGUAACAGCUCACCAAGGCGAUGAUGGGUAGCCGGCCUGAGAGGGUGAUCGGCCACAAGGGGACUGAGACAGGGCCCUUACUCCUACGGGAGGCAGCAGUGGGGAAUAUUGGACAAUGGACCGAGAGUCUGAUCCAGCAAUUCUGUGUGCACGAUGAAGUUUUUCGGAAUGUAAAGUGCUUUCAGUUGGGAAGAAAAAAAUGACGGUACCAACAGAAGAAGUGACGGCUAAAUACGUG